rnacentral:rRNA from 1 species
UGGGGGAAACCCUGAUGCAGCGACGCCGCGUGGAGGAAGAAGGUCUUCGGAUUGUAAACUCCUGUUGUUGAGGAAGAUAAUGACGGUACUCAACAAGGAAGUGACGGCUAACUACGUGCCAGCAGCCGCGGUAAAACGUAGGUCACAAGCGUUGUCCGGAAUUACUGGGUGUAAAGGGAGCGCAGGCGGGCGAUCAAGUUGGAAGUGAAAUCCAUGGGCUCAACCCAUGAACUGCUUUCAAAACUGAUCGUCUUGAGUAGUGCAGAGGUANGCGGAAUUCCCGGUGUAGCGGUGGAAUGCGUAGAUAUCGGGAGGAACACCAGUGGCGAAGGCGGCCUACUGGGCACCAACUGACGCUGAGGCUCGAAAGUGUGGGUAGCAAACAGGAUUAGAUACCCUGGUAGUCCACACCGUAAACGAUGAUUACUAGGUGUUGGAGGAUUGACCCCUUCAGUGCCGCAGUUAACACAAUAAGUAAUCCACCUGGGGAGUACGACCGCAAGGUUGAAACUCAAAGGAAUUGACGGGGGCCCGCACAAGCAGUGGAGUAUGUGGUUUAAUUCGACGCAACGCGAAGAACCUUACCAAGUCUUGACAUCCUGCGACGAUGCUAGAAAUAGUAUUUUCCUUCGGGACGCAGAGACAGGUGGUGCAUGGUUGUCGUCAGCUCGUGUCGUGAGAUGUUGGGUUAAGUCCCGCAACGAGCGCAA